AGAAACCCCGGCUAACUCCGUGCCAGCAGCCGCGGUAAUACGGAGGGGGUUAGCGUUGUUCGGAAUUACUGGGCGUAAAGCGCACGCAGGCGGAUUAGAAAGUUGGGGGUGAAAUCCCGGGGCUCAACCCCGGAACUGCCUCCAAAACUGCUAGUCUAGAGUUCGAGAGAGGUGAGUGGAAUUCCGAGUGUAGAGGUGAAAUUCGUAGAUAUUCGGAGGAACACCAGUGGCGAAGGCGGCUCACUGGCUCGAUACUGACGCUGAGGUGCGAAAGUGUGGGGAGCAAACAGGAUUAGAUACCCUGGUAGUCCACACCGUAAACGAUGAAUGCCAGUCGUCGGGUAGUAUACUAUUCGGUGACACACCUAACGGAUUAAGCAUUCCGCCUGGGGAGUACGGUCGCAAGAUUAAAACUC
rnacentral:rRNA from 1 species